AUCAUAUUGGAGUCCGUCUGCAGUCAUUUGGCCCUGAUCAGGUAAUUGGUCAGUGAGCGCAGAGGGCUAACACAGGUGGCUAACAUUGCAGUUGCAGAAAGCAACAAAUGGUGCCCUGUGUGAGGAGGCAGACUGUGUUUUAAUGCCUUCUGCGUGGCUAUGAGCUUUGGGGUGACGCCCAGCCCGAGUACCCUAUGGAGAGGGGGAAUCUGCAGACGAUUGGAGUGACGCCCUGCAGAAGAUCGUGGUGUCAACGAUAGUGCCGGCCAGCAAGUAGAACCUGUGUUGUGGUGGGGUCAGGGGGGGACGACAGGACGCCCACGGAGACCUGUGCGGAUGGUGGCGUCGAGUGUGACUUUGUGGUGACGGUGACGGGCUGAUCAUGGAACAUGUUCUUAAGGGGCCGAGAGGAGAUGGAGCCGCCAAUGACCGUUGUUGAGGUGGCGCCGGCUGAGCCGACCGCGCUCAGUUCAAAAGAAGACAAACAACAAGAGAGUGGAUAUUCGAUGUCUCAUCCCCCGCCCCCGUAUCCAAACCCCUCAGGCGGCACAUUGUAUCCUUUAUCUGAGUGAUGUAUGUGAUACCUGACUCAAGGGGGCGGAGGAAGCUGUGAUCUACACGAGCAGAAUCAACUUACUGCCCACAAGGGGAGGGACCAGACGAAAGGUCCGUCCACUGAGGACAGGGGGCGUAGCCUACCGGCUCUGGGCACUCCCAGGGGCGGUGGUGUGAGUGAUAGUGUAGAGGAGAAAGAAGGGACUGGCUUUCGGUGGCGGGGGAGGGAUCAAAUGACAGACUGGAAUCGGAUUAGAUCGGAGGCUGAGGGGAAGGGUAUAGUUCCAGAGGCAUUCCUGGUGAUUGUGAGUGAUCGUGGUCCCGAAUGGGUGCCGCCUGACCCCAGGGGUGUUGCGCGCCUGGUGGAAUUUAUGGAUAAAAGAGGCCUGAGAUCGCCUCUGACGUCAAAUGCACUACAGGCUUUGGCUGCCCCGGGGCUUCUCCUCCCCCGUGACAUCACAAACUUAGUGCGUGCGGUGCUCGGGCUGAUCCAGUAUACGUUAUAGGAGACGGGCUGGAUGGCCGAAUUGAGGGAGCGUGCCGGGGCGGUGGGGGUCGGCCUGGGCCGCUCCCUGUGUGGGACCGCCGUCCAGCGGCUUUCAGGGAAGGCCGUGGGAGUGGCUUCGCCCCAGGGCCAGUCAGUGAAACUAAGGCCAGGGGAGCUAAAAGCGGCCACAGAUGUAAUGGUGGGAGCGUUUAAUAAACUUGUGCAUAAGGCCGAACCACCUGCUUCGUGCACAGAUAUUACCCAGGGCCCGAAUGAAUCUUUUCAAAGCUUUGCAGACAGGCUUUUAGCUGCUGCAGAGGGGUCUGAUCUCCCGAAACCGGCCCAAGGGCCAGUGAUCAUCGACUGUCUGCAACAGAAAUCACAUGACAAUGUUAAGGCAUCACUGCAAGCCGGCCCGAGUACGCUUAAUGUCCCGGGAGAAAUUAUUCAACAUGUCUUAGAUAAGCUCAAGGUGGCUCAUUUAACUAAUGAAGGGCUAGCCACAGCUAUAGUCGCAGCUGUUGGCCCGCGACAGCAAAGAUCGCUGCAACAGCAAGGGCUGUGUUUUCGAUGCGGCCAGUAUGGCCAUGUUAGAGCACAGUGCCCCUGUGGGGGAGGUCAGUCAGGGCCUCCUGAUCGCAGGAAGGACAUGCUAAAGGGUAUCCGUUGUCAGGUAUGCGGCAGUUAAACAUCAUGAAUCUGGGAACCUCUGUGGGUACGAUUGUGAAAAGUAAUACCACAUAUAAGUAACAUAUCUGCAAAAACUGAGUCAAGGUGUGAGUUUUUCUACAGAAAUUCUUUGUUGGCAAACCAAAGCCAACUCCAGAACAACUGAGGGACAGACGACGGGAUCGAGAACUACUCAUCAAGAGGAGUACCACAGCUGCAAUACUGACACUUUCGAUGUUGCUGAUGUUUAUGGUGUCCCUGGUGAUCACAGCGUGUCAAUUCAUAAACAACUACGCUGGAUGCAAGAACAUAAGCAGAAGAUUAAAGAAGAGAGUGAUCCUUUCGGAAAUUGGCUGAACAGACUGUUUGGGGGAGCGGGUUCAUGGUUAAAGCAAUUGCUUAAGGUUUUCGCGAUAGGGCUUGCAAUUUCUGUAUAUAUUCUAAUCUGUCUUCCUUGCUGUGUAGGAUACUUGCAGAACUCCUUGCAACGAAUGAUGGAAAAGACUUUUGACCAUCGGAUUGAGUAUCAUAGACUGUGUGAAAGGUUGUAGAAGGGUUUAGGUUGUUGCGUUCGUGCUGUAACGGGGCAAGGCAUGGCCGAGCACAGGAAAGGAUUCCCUGUUACUCUGAUGUUUGCUUAAGGAUUGCAGUAGAAAGACAGUAGGAAUAGUGUGCUGAAAUAUAUUUAAGAUUAGGCGUUUGUGUUGCUUCACGAUGUACGAGUUAGGCACGUGGAAGGAACAUUUAGCUUGGGGAGGGGGAGAUGUUGUAGUAGGCGCUUGACGGGGAUACGUGCUGUACGGGAAAGACCUCUCCCUAAACACAGUGAAAGGGUGUUGUUGUGCUCAGACAGACUGUCCUUGCUAACGAAGUAAACAAGAUAAGAAGGCGAAGGAAUGAGCAGACAAUAGGAGCCAAAUAAAGAAUUGUAGUAAGGGGCUUAAGAUCCAGUACGGACAAAUCAGAACAGGGCACGAUAGCUCAAAUACAGGUAUAUAAGCUGUGCUUAGUAGUGAAUAGACGCCAUUUUGCUACUC
ensembl:lncRNA